rnacentral:rRNA from 1 species
GCACUCCUACGGGAGGCAGCAGUGGGGGAAUAUUGCACAAUGGGCGCAAGCCUGAUGCAGCCAUGCCGCGUGUAUGAAGAAGGCCUUCGGGUUGUAAAGUACUUUCAGCAGUGAGGAAGGUGGGUAUGUUAAUAGCAUAUUCAUUUGACGUUAGCUGCAGAAGAAGCACCGGCUAACUCCGUGCCAGCAGCCGCGGUAAUACGGAGGGUGCGAGCGUUAAUCGGAAUUACUGGGCGUAAAGCGCAUGCAGGUGGUUUGUUAAGUCAGAUGUGAAAGCCCGGGGCUCAACCUCGGAAUUGCAUUUGAAACUGGCAAACUAGAGUACUGUAGAGGGGGUAGAAUUUCAGGUGUAGCGGUGAAAUGCGUAGAGAUCUGAAGGAAUACCGGUGGCGAAGGCGGCCCCCUGGACAGAUACUGACACUCAGAUGCGAAAGCGUGGGGAGCAAACAGGAUUAGAUACCCUGGUAG